GUAGCUGGUGCUAGUGGCAACAGGGCUUUAAGAGCGUCAGAGACAGGUGUCUGUUGAAAACUUUGCUGUAUUACAUCAUCACAGCUGUUAACAAUUAUUUUUUUUGUUGUUAAGGUGGGCUGCUUUGACUAAACUCACCACACAUAACUGAUUCUCCUCCUCCUAGCUGUCUGAAGAAAAAUCUCAGAAUGGAAAAACAGUCACAAUAGAGUUAAGUUUGAAACUACAGCAUUAGAAGCUGAUCUAUUGCAAUGUCCAGGAUGUGCAAUGGCAGAAAGGGAAAUAACUAGGCGCUGACAGCUGUGGUACUAGCAGUCUCAUCUGAGUUUUUAAAACCAUUCAGUAAGGAAUCCUCCCAAAACGAUGAAGACUGGCAUAUUACUUAUGAUAUCUUACCUUGUUAACGUUAUAGCUAGCAUUGGGCCAGAGCUCUUCGUUUUGCAAUACCCCGAAGAUGCCAGCGUGCUGCUUAAUUCCACUGUGUGGAUGCUGUGUGUCUUUGAAUAUCCCAAGGAAGAGAAUGAGGAGCCAGUUGUAUACUGGAGGAAGGGCCCCAGCUGUGACAAUCAGCAGAGUCUUCGGUCAAGUUCAGGAGCAGGCAGGCCACACAUACACAUUACCAAGGACGUAUUCAGGGGAUUCUCUAUCUUAAAACUGAGCAAUGUUGACAAGAAUGACAGCAACUCAUAUUUCUGUGAUGUGAUACUAACCCAGAAAACCCAGGGCAAAUGCGGAAACGGCACCAAGCUGACAGUACACGGUAAGAAGUAUCUGAUAGUCAAAGAAAGUGUGUUAAUAUACGCAAGGUGAGUUAAAUAUUCCAACAGUUUUACUGAUUUCUACUCUAUCACUCAGUGCUGAGAGAAGAAGGAUGGGGGAAAAAGCAGUCUACAGUUAUGAGCUGAGGAUCUGAAUGUGGGCAAUAAAACAUUGAUUCAAUAAUUCAUAUAUUAUAUAUAUUAAAUAUUUAUAUAGUAUUUUAGUUAAUCUUCUAUAUUAAUAUAUACAUCAUAUAUUUGGAAUAUUAAAUAUUUUUCUCAAUAUUAUCCACAGACAUUUACUGAAACUUUACUUCGCUCCAUACAAAAUAAAAGAUCCAUGACGUUCAUUUUCAUCAUUUUCCUCAGACCUUGUAUGCCAAUGAUACUGUUUUGAAGUAUGCAGUCUCUGCUUUGACCUCCAGUUACUGAAAAAUUAAUAGUAAAUUAAGUAGUGUGGGCGGUUUUAGAAAGUGUGUGUGAAAGUAGGGAUACAUGGGAGCAAGAGAUUCUUUCCACAUAAUUCCAAAAUCAUUUUCAGCACUUCAUAACUCUUCUCCUAGCCUCUAUUUAUAUGAACUAUUUCUGUAAUCCUGAAGGGGACUGUGACCUCAGUGAUUGAGGUAGAUAGUUUUAGAGGAGCCAAGUUUUUUGCUUGUAGACUUGCAGGCAUAUCUGACAAGCGUAUGCUAAAGGCUGCAAAGCAUCUCUGUGUUUCUUGAUUUCACUUUAUAUAUGAUAAUUGCCCAAUGCAGUUCUUCUGAGUCCCUAAAGAAAAACAGCUGUCAAUGAAAUUCUUCUGACUUUCACACCAUAAGAAUAUGUUUGAUUGAUUUAUUUUAAAAAACGAGAAAAUUUUUCAUCAUAACUUAAGUAUGUGCGAUAUAAUAAAGAAGUUUUUGGAUCUAUCACCUUUAGUACACUGUGAAAUUUGUUUACUAUUCAUUUUAUAAUUAGAUCACAGCAGUUUAAAAAAUUCGUCACUGAAGUAGAAAGAAGACAAUAGUUCUUCCAUGAGAAGUUUAACCUUUAAGUCUGGAAAAAGAGAGUGAAAUAAAAUGUGAUAAAGACAACUACGCUGACUUGUCAGUCCUCACUAAUCCUUCAUAUUAAAUCAUAUCAGAAAAGCAACUACUUAUUUUUCAGAUACUUAAUUUUCUUCCUCUUCAUUUCAGAUUUCAUAUGCAAAGAAUGUAUAAGAUCAGAACCGACCUGGUGGUGUUGGUUCCUUCUUCUUGGAUACACUCUCUUUGUCACCACAGUUAUCAUAGCUUUUGGUGUAAGUAAUAACUUCAGAAAUAAAUACUACGGACCUAAAGAUGGGUAGCAUUUUUUGAUUGAAAGAUACUAUAAGUAAAUGAAAGAAAGAUGAUCAUGAAGCUAUGGCAAAGUAAAAAAAAAAAAAAAUCUGUCUCUUUUCUGUUAACUAAAAAUUUAGAGAUAGAACCCCCUGCGUUUGCAUGUUUUGAGGGUAUGACCAUAAAAGAAAGCUCUGGCAGUGGAGAUACUUAGAAAAAUAAAAACUGCUAUUUUCAGAGCUUUCUGACCACUGAGAAGCUAUUCUUUAUGUUGCUGGAUGACCUAGAGUUAUUAUUUUCACCUGGAAAUAAGAGAAAUAGAAAAAAAUAAUCUUUUAAAUGAUUCACCGUUCAAAACACAUCCCACUUCUUCCAUGCUUUUGGGCUCCAGCUCCUAAUUUCUUGAGCUCCACUGGGCAUACAUUAAUGUCUGCUUAUGUUUUAUUUUAUAUACAUUCUAGCCAACCAAACAGUCAUGCCAGGGCUUUAUGCCUUCUCCCACUCACCAGUUGGUCUGGGUGCCCACCUGACAUUUCCUUAGCCAGCAGUGCAUCACAUUGACAACUUGAAAAUACUUUUCAAGAGAAGAAAACAUUUUUUGACACAAAAUUGUCUAAGCCCAAGUGAUUUCUUAUACUUCCCAAGAUAUUUUAGAAAUCUUUUUCCCUUUCCUAGUUGUGGCUCUGUUCCCUAUCUCAUAAUCAUUUUAAUCAACCACUUCUUAUGGAUCCAAAUACUAAAAAGAUAGCUUUCAAAUAAUAGUUCUAUCUUGGUCGUAUUUGGGAAUACACUUUAUGUGACAGAAACCAUUUGGAAGGAAAUAAAUCUAAGCUAUGCCAUAACAUGAUGCAAAUUAGAAUCUCUGUCUCUGAAGGUAUGGACAGUACUAAAAUGGGCUCUAGUUGUAAUUACACAGUCCUUAAUUGCAAGCGUAUAAAAUCAUAAUUUAUGAGACCUAAAAAAUUCCUUGUUCAUCACCAGUAACCUUUCCCAUCCAAAAACAAUACUGUGGAGUCCCUUAGAAGUUAACAGAUGCAGGCUAAAUUGGACCAAGAGGCAAUAGGUAACUAACUUGCCAGGUUUUCUCAGCUUGCACAGUUAAAAGGGCCAUUUAAGUGUUACUGAGUCUAGCGUUAUAGCAACAGCUCCCUCUCUGCUGAUUUCAUUAUCAAAAGAUGCAGCGCCACUGAUACGUUACAAGACCUACAGACAUUUACGGUAUCUGAUUGCCCUUCUGGGUUAAGUAAGGUUUGGGUUUUGUUUUCUUUGGAAACCAGUUGUUAAGUGCUGUUACUUCAAAGCCACAUCAAAAUCAGAAAUGCUCACACAGUUCAGGCAGUAGGUGACAAGGGAUACGUAUUUAAGAAGACAGAGAAAAAUCAAGUAAGAGAGGUGGUAAACAAACAACAUUUGCUAAGAUACAAUAGCAGUAGAAGCCUGUCAAAAUGCACUUUCACAUCUGAAUAUACAAAAAGAGCCAACUGAAUCUUUCCUAAAAUGAGUCACCAUGAGUAAAAUUACUGGUAGCAAAAUGUACCAGGUCUGGCAGGGAUGAAGUUAACUUUCUUCAUUGAGUAAACUCAAUGGAGAAUUGAGCUCAUACAGUGCUACAUUUUGGAUUUGUAGUUAAAACAGUAUCAAUAGCAUACCAGUAUACUGGCUGCACAGCACUGGCAUGGCAUUAAGUCAUUUUCCAUUUCUGAAUCUGCUUCCCCAGAGAGGUGGCUGGGGGUGAUUAAGAGGCUGGGAGGGAAUGCAGCCAGGAUGCUUGGCCACAGCUGUUAAAGGGGAUAUUCCAUGCCACAUAACAUUGUGUUCAUCAAUAAAAUCAGGGGUAGAGGAAGAACAAAGGGUUUUUGUUGGCCAACAAGAUGACCAUUGCUUACUGACUGGCUGUGCAUCGGUCUGAUGGAGGGAGGUGGUGAGUGAUUUCCCCUGUUUCAUUUAGGACUUCUUGGUUGUUGUUUUUUUCUUCCUCAUUCCUUCACCUAUCAAACUGUCUUUACCUUGACCCAGGAGGUUUCUCUUUUUUGUUCUUCUUGUCCUCUCCCCUGUCCUGCUGGGGAGGGGGUGGUGAGUGAGCAGCUCUGUGAGUGUUUGGCUGCUGGCCAGGGUCAAGGCAGCACAGCAGCUAAAGAGAAAGACACUGACAUUUUUGAAGUUAGGGAGUCUAUAACUUCUUACAGGUCAUUUCUUCACUAAAUGACAAAUGUGCUGUAUCAUGAAAAUGUGUAUAGUGUCAAAAUCAGAGCGUGAAAUAAUGACAGAGGUACUAGAUCACUCAAAAGCCCCUUGGCUUUUUGACACUUCUAGGCCACUGCUUAAAUUUGGUAUGUCAGGGUUGGCUGAGCCCCUCAGGUACCUUCUGGAAGGAGCUGCUAUCAGAGGAAGAAGUCUGACUUGUAUUUUCUUAGCUUAAAUUUCUCUUAUAUUUCUUCUUACUUCUGUCAAACUUUUUUCUGCGCUUCAAAAUCAAGACUAGGGCAUAGCAACAUGUUAUUCCCAUGAAACCUGCACAACAAUUGUGCAUAUUUUAUGUGGAAGCCAUUAGAGCUAUCAGUUCUGGAUUCUCCCCAGAAGAAGAUAUCCAUCCCAUCAACUCUCCAAAAAGAUCAUUUAAGCUACAUAAGAAUACAGGAAAAAAUUUUAAAACCCCUCUUUCUCUCUAAAAAAACUUUGUGUUUAAAUAAAGUAAAAAAAUUUAUGCACCUUAAAAAAUAGUACCAUGCAUUGAAGAAAAACCAAAUGAAAACACUGAUAUACAGUCAGACUCACAUUCUGCCUGUAAAAAGAUAAGAAUUACCCUUAUUCCACAACCUGUAAACAUUAGUUUUUCUGUAUUUCAUUGUGACUGUGAUACACAUUGUAACAUUACGAGCAAUUCAGAAUUAAUACUCAUUAGUAUCUUAGUGACAUUAGGAAUAUAUUCUCUAAAAAUGGGGAAUCUGAUGGAAAAACAUUUUAAUAGCUUAACAAUAUAUCUUUUGGAAUAUUGCAACAGAUUCAUCAGUACUGUAAAAAGUGCAAGAAUGAUUCAAGAAAUACAGAUAGCAGCACUACCCUGCCAAGUGAAUGGAUUUAUGAUAAGCCAUCCAAACCUGUUAAUAAUGGGUCUAACCAAGAAUACGAAGAUAUGUCACUAAUAAGAACUUUCAGUCACAUUGAAAGGAAAGUGAUAUGAAAAACAAGCCUCACAGUUGUAACCAUAAAGCUAUGAGCAUGUGAAUGAUGUGUACUACUUCAGGAUACAGAGGAAACAUACGCACGAGUCAUACUGUAAACCUGGAAUCUUCUUUGUUCAAGAUUUUUUUCAUCUAUUCAUGUAUUUACUUCAAAACUAAUGAAAUUAACACUCUGUGCAGCUACAAAUGCAAUGAUAUUUAGUAUGCACAGCUACCACAAAAGUACUGUAAAAGCUAAAGGUAUUCAAACUUAAAUGCCAAGAAAGCUGAUCAUAUAUGCUGAAUUUCUUUUUUUUUUUUCUAUUUCAAACUCAAAGAAACAUCUGUUAUUUUGUUUUUAUCUGGGUUAAGAUAGCUUGUUUGUCUUAUAAAAACAAUGGCAAAUUCUAUACUACAGUAUUUGCCCACUGCUGAGAUAAAUUUUAAAAAAGAUUUUGUCAUAGAUGAAUUUCUCAUGUGCUCCUGAUGUACUGACCUUAUUUCCAGCUCCUUAUCCUGCCCUCAUGUUGAUACAUCCCUGCAGCUUCUUCCCCUUUCAGUUGUGUAGCCAGCUAUGCCACUCAUAUAACGCACAUUCGUACUUGCUUCUCUCAACAGAAUUAAAAUACUGAAUGUUUUUAAUAGUUAUAAUUUCAGAAGAAAACAUAAUAAUUACUGGUGAAGAGCUUGUCUUUGCUGUUCUCGUGGCAUAUCUAAGAUUAUAAUGUAAGGUAUUUGGAUUAAAAAUAUCUCUAAAACUUGUUUUAAUGUACUUAGAAUGCUUUUGGAGUCCAUGUAAAUAGCAACAAUAGAAUUAAACUUAAUAGAAAGAGUUUAUCAUAAUUUGCAUAAUAAUUAAGUGCUCAGAGGAAGUGUUGCCUUGGAAUAGUUAUAUACAUGUGACUUGAGAGAGGUUAAUACUUCGACAAACUCUAUUUGAGUUAUUGACAUUUUUUUCCCUCAGACAAUUACAUAUCACAAUCUGAGUACUGUGUAUCAAGUUUUUUUUAACACUGAAAAUAUACAUUAUGAAAGGAAAAUGUUCAUAGGCUAAAAUGCCAAAGAUUAUAGACUUAUACAUUAACUAUGCAGUAAUUACAAAGCAAAGAGUAAGCUUUUUUUACUUUUUUACUCAAAGGGGCAACAAGUCAUAGUUAAUAUUCAAGGCUGUACAUUAUGACAUGGAUGCACGUUGCUAGUGAAAUUCAGCUAAAGCUUUAUCGGUACUGUAUUUUUCUAAAAUAUAUUUGCCUGUUCUAUAAGUAAAAAAAGUAAUAAAAAUAAUCUUUAAAACUGACGUCACUAUUUGACUCCUUUUGUUGAAAGAACUUUCUCUAAGUGAAUCAGAAGUAAAGUGUGACUUCCAGAAGGACAGACAAACAAUGCUUGUGCAGUUGGAGAGGAGGAGGGCAACCAUGAAGUCAAGAAAAAAUCAUAUUUUCUUAAAUUUGGAUAGCAGGAACUAAAUAAUGGUCUUCCUCACUUCUCUACUCAAACUGGGUUCUGAGUGCAUCUUCAGGUUUCCAGAUUCAGAAAUUCAAGCUCUAACUGGGGUUGAAAAUACAUAAAUUUCCAGAGAAACUAGCUCUUCAGAUGCACCUCAGAUUUCCUAUUUUAAAAAUCUUUAAAAAAUCCUGUUGAUUAUAAUACAUGACUAACCUCUUUGUUUUAAAGUUAUUUUUUUUAGUUGGCUUACAUACUAAGGGAUUAAAUACAGGGAUCGUUUAUACAUCUUACAUGUAGCUUUAGAGAAGAUCCCUUACGAGGAUCCAUCUGAAAGGAAGAUGCAGUUCUGUGAAGGCAUUCAGUGAACCAAAAUUACCUUCAAGAAGCGCAAAGACGUUAAUGCAUUCAGUAGAACCUUCCAUCUCUUGCAUUUUGGCAAAAAUAACAAUAAUUCAUUCUUAAUCUAGCAGACAUAACUGCAAGGCAGAUGCCUUUUAAGGCGUCUCAUUCAGAUAACACAUAUACUAGAAUGGGGCUGUUUUCUUUCUGUGUUACAGUGCUGCUUCCAUUUUAGAUCAGUGGUCCUUCAAAACUGUCAGCACAAUGUUUACACUUUUUCACAUGCUUCUUAGAAACACCAGAGGUAUUUCUAUGUAAAGUUUCCAAAUAAGUUGGACAUAGUGUUCAAGUCAGAAAGGUUAAAUAUUCCAAAGUUUUGAGGGUCUGAAAACAAAUAAUAGGACAUAUGUGUAACAGCACAAGCAUAGUAAAACACCCAAAUCAUUAUUUGCUACGUUGCAGUCAGCAAGGUUGUGGAAAUUUUAGGUCACUGGGACUGAAUUCAGAAUUAGUUUAGAGCACAAGCAAUUUUUAGUACCAGAUCUAUGAAAUACUACAUUUUCUAAUUUAUAUAUUUUUAAACACACAUAUUGUAGCAUAAGUAAUGUUAACAUUUAUAUGAAAUUCUGAUUCUACAGUAAAUUAAAGAAUCAGAGAACUAUUGCUUAGAGGAGACCUCUACAGCUCAUUUGGUCCAAUCUCUCCUCAAGCAAAGCCUCCUAAGAGCAGGUUGUCCAUGUCCAUACCCAAGUGACUUUUGAAGUUGCCCUCCCUGGGCAACUCUAGCCUCUUCCAGUGCUCCGGUAUCUGUACAGCACAGAAGUGCUUCCUAAUGGUCAGAGAGAACUGCUGUGUUCCAGCUUGUGCCCACUGCCUCUUGUCCUGACACUGAGCAACACUAAGAAGAGCUUGGAUUCAUCUUUUUCAUUCCUUCUCACCAGCUAUUUAUACACAUUUGAGAUCCUCAUGGACUUUCUCUCCUUGCUGGGCUAAACAGAUCCAGAACUCAGCCUCACCACAUAAGUAAGAUGUCCCAGUCCUUUAAUGAUUUUUGUGUCCCCGAAGUGGGCUCUCUGUACUGUCUGUAUCUUGACUGCAAUAACUUAGCAGCAGCAUAAAGGUAGAAAAUAGAUAUGAGUUUUGGCAAGUUUGAUUUCCUUCAACCAUUUAAGAUACUAAUGAUGUAUUUUCUUAAAAAGCUAAACAGCCUAUUUAUGUAGUAAGCCUAACAGAAGGCAAAAUUCUAGCAAGCACAAAUUAUGCUUCCGGCCGUACAAGGACUUCACUUAAAACACCUCUAACAGCAAAUGAACAACAGAAUCUAUUUAAGAAAUAUUCUUAAAAUUCAAAAAUCUUAUAUGUUUGACUUUGUAUUGACAGAAGAGAUCCAAAUUCAAUUCUAAUUAAUUUACCUAGCAUUUCUUUGAAGAGGAGAAAGAGAACUCCCUAUUACCUUAGACUUUUGUGAUAAACGUUAAUAAGGUGGUCAGAAUCCUUUCUCACUAUAACAGAUUUAUGAUGCUCUACCAGAAAACUCCUGCUAUUAGCCAGCAAAAUUCGCCAGGAAAUGCCAAACUAUGGAACUUGCAGCAUGGUUUAAAACAAAGCAAAAACCAAACACACACACAAAUACAACAAACUAAAGUAAAUGUCCUUCACGUAGAAAAGCCAAUAUUCACUUCUUGAAAACACGACUGUUGAUAAUAGGAAACAAAGUUCAAGAGGCUCUCAUUUUAUUAGAUGUUUCCCUUUUUAACAGAAAAUAUUUAAACAAUAAAGAUGUAUACGAGUUGUCCAGUAAGCCCAUACGCAGAAGAGAUAAAAUACAGAACAAAGGAGUAGGUUAGGAACACAAUCAGCCUUAUUUAUGUACAACUGAGAGAGCUAGAAGGGGAGUGCAAAGAAUUGGCACUACUACAGAUGAAGAGAGGUGGGUAAGAAAGUAUUUGAAAGGGAUCAGAUUGUUUGCCAUAAAACCAAUGGACCUGAAGGUACUUUAGCCCUUCUAACCUAGAAACAGCUUCUGCAAACAUUUCUAGGUUAUCUCUUACCUGUGUAGUGGCAAACACCGUGCACAUUCUGCAAAAAUGGAAGCAAUAUUCACCAAAUUCAUAUGGACUUUCCUAUUCUGAAUUAUUUUCAGCAACAGAAAUUAUUAUUUUAUAAGAGAUAUUAAAAGUCUUGAGUUUCACACAGAUAAAUAGAAGGCAAUUGUAACCAAUCCACACAAUCUUGGAGACUAAAACAGGAAGAAAAUAAAUUUGUAUUUUAUAAGGUAUGCCACUAUUGUAAAAGUACUACUUUAUUUGGAAAAACAAAAGAUUUUCUUAAAGCAGCAUCUGAAAUUUUCAAGGUGGUACAGCCUGUGCACUGGGGAAGGAGGAAAUAAAAUGGGUGGUUUUCACAAAAUUGGAACGCACAGAAGUAGAUGAUUUCCUCUAUGAAACAAAGAGAUUACAUCUAUUCUCCUGAUUUAAAAUGGCAAAUACUUCCCUAAAAGGCUAACUGGUCAAUAAACAUUUUAUUUCAAAGACUCAAACAUUGUUGGCUGAGAAUAAAACAUUUCUGAACGUGCUUCGCUAUGCUUCACUAUAACCAAAUUAGCAGCCUUAAGACAGUAAGCUUGUACUGUUUUGCUUUUGGUGGGUCAUCUGCAAUAAGAAAAAAAAUAUUAAAUGGUGCUAAAUGAAAAAUCUCUGAGUCUUGCCAUUCUCAUUCAACUUUAAUACUCUAAGAUAAAAAAAAAUCCUCCUAUUAUCAUAAUAAACAUUUCUACACCUUUCCUCUGCAUUACUAUGAUUUUAUUCCCUAUGAAAAGUAUUAUGUUAUCAUAAACAUCUGAAGGUCAGUUUCUAAAGCACUGAACAUUGCCUGGGGCACUCAGAACUUGGUAAACAGGAUAUGGCAUAUACUCCUGCAGGUGGCAUUAUGCAUGCAGAAAGAAGUCAGGUUUUCAUAAAGUAAACAGCGCAUCAAACUGCAACACACCAUGCUCAAAAGCAAUAUACAUUAUCAAGAAUUGAGCUUUCCAUUUAAUAAUAUUAAAAGGCAACUCUUACAAAACUGCAUCCAGGUAAACAAGCUUUGUAUAGAUUUGCUAAAUAUACAUGGCUCCAUGACUGCUCAGGAAGCUGUAGUGCUGGUUCUGCUACUUCUGAAAGCUCGUGAAUAGCUCCAAGCCCUCGAAAAUGCUAUGUGAAAAAGAAGAUUCUGCCAUAAUACCAAAAUAAGUAUUGAAAUUGAACUACAAACUUAGGCUAUAGCAGACCAGUUUGCAAUAAUCUUUUAAUAGCAUUAUUCGCUAUUUCUAUUUAUGUUAAAAGUUCUCAUCUGUGUGAAUAAGGAUGAACAAGUAAGCCACAAGUGCCUUUGUACCACAAAAGUAUUUCAGCUCUACCUGUAGAAAUGCUGUCCUACAUAUCUGGAGUCCUGCUGGAAAUUAUACCCUUUUUUCACUGCAUACACAACCUCAUGCAUCUAAAAGUGUUGACGCAUCUAAAAAUGCUGAUGCAAAGCAUUAUUAUUUAUUCACUCUAGCAAAAGCAGCUAACAGAUGAAUUCAAUCCUGCCACAUGAAUCCUAUCCUCAUAUUACCUACAUAUGAAUAUUAAACUGUUACUUACAGUAAGAGACAUUCAAACAGCUACAAAAUAUUACACAUGCAUGUUUAACUGUAAUUCUCACCUACCUAGAUUUUCAAUUAUUUUGGAGGAGUGCUAUACAUACUUCAAUCUCAAUUUUUUGUAAGCAUUAAGAACUCAUCUUAAGAAGUACACUUAACAAACAAACACUUCGAUUUUAAGUAGUUGUUGAAUUUAGAAUUUAAGCAUUAGGACUGAAAUUUUUGAACCUGCAUUUAAGGAAAUC